GACGGAGGGUGCUAGCGUCGUUCGGAAUUACUGGGCGUAAAGGGCGCGUAGGCGGCUCUUUCAGUCGGAUGUGAAAGCCCGGGGCUCAACCCCGGAACGGCAUCCGAGACGGGAGGGCUCGAGACCGGGAGAGGAGGGUGGAAUAGCCAGUGUAGAGGUGAAAUUCGUAGAUAUUGGCUGGAACACCGGUGGCGAAAGCGGCUCUCUGGCCCGGUUCUGACGCUGAGGCGCGAAAGCGUGGGGAGCAAACAGG
rnacentral:rRNA from 1 species